GUUUGUCAAGAAUUUUAUUAUCUCCAACACAACUAAAGAAGUCCCACAAUUUGUUUGUAUACAAAACAAGGUCAUGAGAUUUUCAUGUCAACAUUAAUAACUAGUGUCUGAUUAGAUUGAAAUAGCUCUGAGUUCAACCUCAGAAUAAAAUUAAGCCUACAAACCAAAUAAACACUUUAAAUCACAUGACCUAAUUGUAGCUCUAAGCCAAUCACAGUAGAUUGAUAACUCACAAUCAGAGAAAAUCAGGCACAGUCAAUCAUGAGACUUAAAUAUCUAGAAGCAGUUUGUUCAUUUUAAAAUACAAUUGAAAAACAUCUACAAGUUGCUAUAUGUAUCAGGGCUUCUCCACUAACAAGUGUUCUGGCUGUUACAAUCAUGUGAUGUGUUUGACUAAAUCCAAUGUUUGUAUCCUACUGGUUGAUGUCCAAUGAAACAUAAUUAAAGCCCAGCAUGGAAUAUGAAACCCCCAAUUUGUAAAUCAUGGCAAUAGUCCACUGUAUUAACUGUCCCAUGAGAACAUUACAAGCAAAAAUUAAACAAAAUAAAGUUUUGUUUCAAAGCCAGCAGCACACACUGAGAAGUCAAGACAAAUUUGGUAAGGUAUGGUUCACUAAUGAAGAGUUUGGUAAGGUAUGGUUCACUAAUGAAGAGUUUGGUAAGGUAUGGUUCACUAAU